rnacentral:lncRNA from 1 species
AGGUCUGCUCCACAGCAGGCAGCUUGCACCGCAUAGGUGAUCAACCAUAUAUCCUAAGCUCUCUCUAUUAUGAGAGUUUCCCAUUCAUCCUACGUGACGGUAGGGUUCUCCGUUUGUUGAUAUUUCUAUAUGAUUAUCAAGGGGAAUAUCUGCCAAUCUUUUCGCCUGUAUGCUAUACAAGCUUCUCUUCUUGGAUUAUUUGUCUCAGCUGUUUCUUCAUUUCAUUUUGUUUCUUGCCACUACACAGUACUGAUCAAUAGU